UGCAAUUUCCAGCCAUGAAUUCAGAAAUCCAAAAAAUAAAAUAAUAUAAGUAAUAACAAAUGAGGAAGAAAGAACAUUUGAUUCUCCUUCUCCCAACUUUUUUCCCCACAAGAAAACAAUAAAUCAUCUUUUCACUUGUACCCAGUCUUCUACUCGGACUAAAAUUCUCCCGUAACCCAUAAAACUUCUUUUUUCCUUUCUUUAUCCUUGUUGUUUAUUGAAUUCCUCGUUUAAUGAAAUGUUGAUGGAUCAAUAGAGAAGCAACGAGUAAAAAGGGGAGAAGUAAAUUAAUUUCGGGAAAAAAUUC
rnacentral:lncRNA from 1 species